CACGCCCACAGAAACAUACCAGCUACGAGCUUACCAGAAGCUGCACACGUACUUUCGCAAUGGUUUCGAAGAACUCACUUGCUGCUAUUUUAGUGCUGGGCUUUGCUACUUUCGCGAGUGCAAACCUGGACACCUCCAGCAUCGUACAUUGCCGCACUACAAUUGCGGUGGUGUGUCCAAGUGAUAGAACAAGGGCCACUCUCUAUCUUGGAAAUAAACCA